rnacentral:misc_RNA from 1 species
UUUCCGUAGGUGAACCUGCGGAAGGAUCAUUAUUGAACUGUCAACAUGAGCUGUUGCUGGUCCUCAAACUGGGGGCAUGUGCACGCUCUGUUUACACAUCCACUCACAUCUGUGCACCCUCUGUAGUUCUAUGGUCCAGGGGAGAGACUCUGUCCUCCUCUCAUAGUUCUGCAUUACCACACACACACUGUAACAUAGUCUUAUGGAAUGUAUGCCGCGUUUAACGCAAUGCAAUACAACUUUCAGCAACGGAUCUCUUGGCUCUC